AAAUUGAAGAGUUUGAUCAUGGCUCAGAUUGAACGCUGGCGGCAGGCCUAACACAUGCAAGUCGAGCGGUAGCACAGAGAGCUUGCUCUCGGGUGACGAGCGGCGGACGGGUGAGUAAUGUCUGGGAAACUGCCUGAUGGAGGGGGAUAACUACUGGAAACGGUAGCUAAUACCGCAUAAUGUCGCAAGACCAAAGUGGGGGACCUUCGGGCCUCAUGCCAUCAGAUGUGCCCAGAUGGGAUUAGCUAGUAGGUGGGGUAACGGCUCACCUAGGCGACGAUCCCUAGCUGGUCUGAGAGGAUGACCAGCCACACUGGAACUGAGACACGGUCCAGACUCCUACGGGAGGCAGCAGUGGGGAAUAUUGCACAAUGGGCGCAAGCCUGAUGCAGCCAUGCCGCGUGUGUGAAGAAGGCCUUCGGGUUGUAAAGCACUUUCAGCGGGGAGGAAGGCGGUGAGGUUAAUAACCUCACCGAUUGACGUUACCCGCAGAAGAAGCACCGGCUAACUCCGUGCCAGCAGCCGCGGUAAUACGGAGGGUGCAAGCGUUAAUCGGAAUUACUGGGCGUAAAGCGCACGCAGGCGGUCUGUCAAGUCGGAUGUGAAAUCCCCGGGCUCAACCUGGGAACUGCAUUCGAAACUGGCAGGCUAGAGUCUUGUAGAGGGGGGUAGAAUUCCAGGUGUAGCGGUGAAAUGCGUAGAGAUCUGGAGGAAUACCGGUGGCGAAGGCGGCCCCCUGGACAAAGACUGACGCUCAGGUGCGAAAGCGUGGGGAGCAAACAGGAUUAGAUACCCUGGUAGUCCACGCCGUAAACGAUGUCGAUUUGGAGGUUGUGCCCUUGAGGCGUGGCUUCCGGAGCUAACGCGUUAAAUCGACCGCCUGGGGAGUACGGCCGCAAGGUUAAAACUCAAAUGAAUUGACGGGGGCCCGCACAAGCGGUGGAGCAUGUGGUUUAAUUCGAUGCAACGCGAAGAACCUUACCUGGUCUUGACAUCCACAGAACUUUCCAGAGAUGGAUUGGUGCCUUCGGGAACUGUGAGACAGGUGCUGCAUGGCUGUCGUCAGCUCGUGUUGUGAAAUGUUGGGUUAAGUCCCGCAACGAGCGCAACCCUUAUCCUUUGUUGCCAGCGGUUCGGCCGGGAACUCAAAGGAGACUGCCAGUGAUAAACUGGAGGAAGGUGGGGAUGACGUCAAGUCAUCAUGGCCCUUACGACCAGGGCUACACACGUGCUACAAUGGCAUAUACAAAGAGAAGCGACCUCGCGAGAGCAAGCGGACCUCAUAAAGUAUGUCGUAGUCCGGAUUGGAGUCUGCAACUCGACUCCAUGAAGUCGGAAUCGCUAGUAAUCGUAGAUCAGAAUGCUACGGUGAAUACGUUCCCGGGCCUUGUACACACCGCCCGUCACACCAUGGGAGUGGGUUGCAAAAGAAGUAGGUAGCUUAACCUUCGGGAGGGCGCUUACCACUUUGUGAUUCAUGACUGGGGUGAAGUCGUAACAAGGUAACCGUAGGGGAACCUGCGGUUGGAUCACCUCCUUACCUUAAAGAA
rnacentral:rRNA from 2 species